UGCCAGCAGCCGCGGUAAUACGUAGGGGGCGAGCGUUGUCCGGAUUUAUUGGGCGUAAAGAGCGUGUAGGCGGCUUGGUAGGUCUGCUGWGAAAACUCGGGGCUYAACCCCGAGACGUCGGUAGAAACCACCUGGCUAGAGUCCGGAAGAGGAGAGUGGAAUUCCUGGUGUAGCGGUGAAAUGCGCAGAUAUCAGGAAGAAUAUCCGUGGYGAAGGCGGCUCUCUGGUACGGCACUGACGCUGAGACGCGAAAGCGUGGGGAGCAAACAGGAUUAUGAUACCCUGGUAGUCCAAGGGCGAAUUC
rnacentral:rRNA from 1 species